GAUGAACGCUGGCGGCGUGCCUAAUACAUGCAAGUCGAGCGGAUGGAUUAAGAGCUUGCUCUUAUGAAGUUAGCGGCGGACGGGUGAGUAACACGUGGGUAACCUGCCCAUAAGACUGGGAUAACUCCGGGAAACCGGGGCUAAUACCGGAUAACAUUUUGAACCGCAUGGUUCGAAAUUGAAAGGCGGCUUCGGCUGUCACUUAUGGAUGGACCCGCGUCGCAUUAGCUAGUUGGUGAGGUAACGGCUCACCAAGGCAACGAUGCGUAGCCGCCUGGGGGGGUGGAUCGGCCAAUCGGGGACUGAGACACGGCCAGGACUCCUACAGGAGGCAGAAGUAGGGAAUCUUCCGCAAUGGACGAAAGUCUGACGGAGCAACGCCGCGGGAGUGAGGAAGGCUUGCGGGUCGUAAACCUCUGUUGUUAGGGAAGAACAAGUGCUAGUUAAAUAAGCUGCCACCUUGACGGUACCUAACCAGAAAGCCACGGCUAACUACGUGCCAGCCGCCGCGGUAA
rnacentral:rRNA from 1 species